rnacentral:rRNA from 1 species
AGUGAAGCGGGAUGAGCUCAAAUUUAAAAUCUGGCUGGUUUACUAGUCCGAAUUGUAGUUUAAAGAAGCGUUUUCGGUGGCAGCCUGGGUAUAAAUCCUUUGGAACAGGGUAUCAUAGAGGGUGAGAAUCCCGUCUUUGACUCAGUGCAUGCUACUAUGUGAUACGUUUUCAAAGAGUCGAGUUGUUUGGGAAUGCAGCUCAAAAUGGGUGGUAAAUUUCAUCUAAGGCUAAAUAUUGGCGAGAGACCGAUAGCGAACAAGUACCGUGAGGGAAAGAUGAAAAGAACUUUGAAAAGAGAGUUAAACAGUGCGUGAAAUUGUUGAAAGGGAAACGCUUGACACCAGUCAUGCGAGCGGAAAAUCAGUCUUUUGCAGUGGGGAGUUGUGUGGGUUCGGACCGCAAGGCCGGCCUGCGCUGCAUCUCUGCUGUAAGUGAUGCACUUUUUCGUUUGCAGGCCAACAUCAGUUUCUUCUGCUGGACAAAACUCUUGAGAAGGUAGCAGCUUUGGCUGUGUUAUAGCUCUUGAGCGAUACAGUGGAGGGGACUGAGGUUUUCGCAGCGCGUGCUCUCGGGCAAGGCUGAUUGGGUGCUAUGGGAUCGUUCGGUGUACAAUGCUUGCAUUUUGCGCCGUGUCUUUUCUGUACUCGCUCAACUCGGCUCUUCCGCGCUUAGGAUGUUGGCUUAAUGGUUUUAAUCGACCCGUCUUGA